GCAAGUCGAACGGUAACAGGAAUUAGCUUGCUACUUGCUGACGACCGGCGCACGGGUGCGUAACGCGUAUGGAAUCUACCUUAUACUGGGGGAUAGCCUUUGGAAACGAAGAUUAAUACCCCAUAGUAAGUAUUUGUGGCAUCACAGAUAUUUUAAAGGUUACGGUAUAAGAUGACCAUGCGUCCUAUUAGUUUGUAGGUGAGGUAACGGCUCACCUAGACUACGAUAGGUAGGGGCCCUGAGAGGGGGAUC
rnacentral:rRNA from 1 species